GGAUUUGAGUUUCUCAGAGAAGUAAGACAACUAUUGUCAUUUACUCUCCUGUAAUCUUCUACAAAUAUUGUUAGUUUUUUCAUGUGACAGUAGUGCUUGGACAGUCUUUGGCUUGAGAACUUAAAUUCUGUUCACAAUUUUCAAUUAUGGUACCAUAGAUGUUUUAGAUUUUUUUCAUUUUUUUCUGGGGGCUAACAUGGCUACUUCAAAGGCUUUUCCUCCUUCAAUUCAUUUAUUAAUGUAGUUUGCAGCAUGACGAAACUCUCAUAUGUGGAUGAUUGUUUUCCAAAUUGGAAGGAUUUAAACCUGUUAAGAGCAAUUUCUUUCUAGUUUGAUGUCCCUAUAUUUAUUUCAUCACUCUUCAUGCAUAUAGGUUGGUGCUGC
rnacentral:misc_RNA from 1 species